rnacentral:rRNA from 1 species
AACGAACGCUGGCGGCGUGGAUAAGACAUGCAAGUCGUGCGACAGACCAGGAAUUGAUUACUUCGGUUUGAUUUUCCUGACGAUGAGCGGCGAACGGGUGCGUAACACGUGAGAAAUCUGCCCUUAAGUUCGGGAUAGCCCUACGAAAGUAGAAUUAAUACCGGAUGUGGCCCAGGGAGGGCAUCCUCCCCUGGCUAAAGCUCGGUUAAAGAGCGCUUUUGGAUGAUCUCGCGGUCUAUCAGCUUGUUGGUGAGGUAACGGCUCACCAAGGCUUUGACGGAUAGCUGGUCUGAGAGGAUGAUCAGCCUCACUGGAACUGAGACACGGUCCAGACACCUACGGGUGGCAGCAGUCGAGAAUCAUUCACAAUGGGCGAAAGCCUGAUGGUGCGACGCCGCGUGGGGGAAGAAGGGCUUCGGUUCGUAAACCCCUGUCAUCUGUGAGUAAGACUCCCAAUAAAAGCUUGGGAGGUUGAUAUUAGCAGAAGAGGAAGGGACGGCUAACUCUGUGCCAGCAGCCGCGGUAAUACAGAGGUCCCAAGCGUUGUUCGGAUUUACUGGGCGUAAAGGGUGCGUAGGCGGCUAGAAAAGUUUGAUGUGAAAUCUCCGGGCUUAACCCGGAAACUGCAUUGAAAACUAUCUGGCUAGAGGAUCGGAGAGGAGAUUGGAAUUCUCGGUGUAGCAGUGAAAUGCGUAGAUAUCGAGAGGAACACCAGUUGCGAAGGCGGAUCUCUGGACGGUUUCUGACGCUGAGGCACGAAAGCUGGGGUAGCGAAGAGGAUUAGAUACCCUCGUAGUCCCAGCCGUAAACGGUGCACACUUGCUGUGGGCGGAUUCGACCCCGUCCGUGGCGAAGCUAACGCGAUAAGUGUGCCGCCUGGGGAGUACGGUCGCAAGAUUAAAACUCAAAGAAAUUGACGG